AGACAAUGAACAGGAGAAAAAUCCAACAGGAUGUACCCUUGGGAUGGGGGUAUCUGUACAGAAAACUCCAAUUUUCUGACUUCUGUUUCAUUAAAUCUUCUAUGUUCUAGUCAAUAAAAAUAUAAAAUACAAAAGGGUGAUUAUAAGAAUGAAAAUACAAAGGUCAUCCAAGUGCAAAGUUGUUGAAAGCCUAAGUCAUCAGAUUUACUAUAGAACCAGACUUCAUACAAAAGAAUAUUCACUUUACAAGUAAUUCCCAUGAAACAGUAAGCAUGUAUAUAAUUCUCAUUAGUCAUUACUCAUUAGAUAUCUACUUCUACAGUUCUACAACAGUUAGUGGCAAAUAAUGCAGAGCAAGCAACUGCACUUAUUUUCCGCAAGGUGCCAUUCUUGGUUACACAUAGACCAGGUCUAUGCAAUUCAAACUAGAAAAGCCAAGCUUAUCUGACUGGCAAAGUCUAACUAAUAAUCUACAUUCACCCACCCCACCUAAGAAUGAAACAUUCAGCAAGUAUAUCGAUAUGAAAACAUUAGACAAGCAAAUCUGAAUCGGUAAAAAGCAAAAAAAGAAUGGGAUUUUCUUCUCAAAGCCAAAAUAAAAAAACACUGAAUAUGAAGAAAAAGAAACCAAAUCACUAAUGUUGGAUUGGGGGAUUUGACCCUAUGGAUGGCCUAAAUACAUUGUUUGGAUAUAUUUUACAUAAAAAUGGAUUUGGAUUUAAUCCAAAUCCCAUGUAUUUAUAACAAGCUUAAAAACUAAAGAUUUAAAUAACUACUUUUACUUCUUAUUUCAAAUCCAUCCUACUACAAUCAAAUGUAUCAGCUUUACAUGAUAUAAUAACUUCUAGUCACUUCAAUGGAAAUUAUUUUUAUUAGCCAAACAAAAGAUUUUUAAAUUUAUGAUUUUCAAAUUCUAAAUUUUAAAUCAAACGUUUGAAAUCCAAAUCUGAGAAUCCAAAGGCAACCUAAUAAAAAUUGAAAAUAACUAGUAAGAUUUGAAAUUGAUGAAUUCAAAAG
rnacentral:misc_RNA from 1 species